rnacentral:rRNA from 1 species
CUCCUGGAAACGGGUGGUAAUGCCGGAUGCUCCGCCCCCUCGCAUGGGGGGUCGGGAAGGCUUUUGCGGAAUGGGAUGGGGUCGCGUCCUAUCAGCUCGUUGGCGGGGCGACGGCCCACCAAGGCUUCGACGGGUAGCCGGCCUGAGAGGGCGACCGGCCACAUUGGGACUGAGAUACGGCCCAGACUCCUACGGGAGGCAGCAGUGGGGAAUAUUGCACAAUGGGGGGAACCCUGAUGCAGCGACGCCGCGUGCGGGAUGGAGGCCUUCGGGUCGUGAACCGCUUUUGAUUGGGAGCAAGCGUGAGUGAGUGUACCUUUCGAAUAAGCACCGGCUAACUACGUGCCAGCAGCCGCGGUAAUACGUAGGGUGCAAGCGUUGUCCGGAAUCAUUGGGCGUAAAGGGCUCGUAGGCGGUUCGUCGCGUCCGGUGUGAAAGCCCAUCGCUUAACGGUGGGUCUGCGCCGGGUACGGGCGGGCUUGAGCGCGGCAGGGGAGGCUGGAAUUCCCGGUGUAACGGUGGAAUGUGUAGAUAUCGGGAAGAACACC